rnacentral:rRNA from 1 species
UACGGAGGGUGCGAGCGUUGUCCGGAAUCACUGGGCGUAAAGGGUGCGUAGGCGGCUCAUGAAGGCUGUGGUGAAAGUCCGGGGCUCAACCUCGGAUCGGCCGUGGCGACUCGUGGGCUGGAGCACUGUAGAGGCGGGUGGAAUUCCGGGUGUAGCGGUGGAAUGCGUAGAGAUCCGGAAGAACACCAGUGGCGAAGGCGGCCCGCUGGGCAGUGGCUGACGCUGAAGCGCGACAGCGUGGGGAGCAAACAGG